AGGGUUUGAUCAUGGCUCAGAUUGAACGUUGGCGGCACGCCUUAUACAUGCAAGUCGAACGAGAAAGCACUUCGGUGCGAGUACAGUGGCGGACGGGUGAGUAACGCGUAGGAAUAUACCUAGUAGUGGGGGACAACUCGGGGAAACUCGAGCUAAUACCGCAUACGAUCUUUGAACCUUCGGGGGAUUAGAUGAAAGUGGGGGAUCUUCGGACCUCACGCUAUUAGAGUAGCCUGCGUUGGAUUAGCUAGUUGGUGGGGUAAAGGCCUACCAAGGCGACGAUCCAUAGCUGGUCUGAGAGGACGAUCAGCCACACUGGAACUGAGACACGGUCCAGACUCCUACGGGAGGCAGCAGUAGGGAAUCUUGGGCAAUGGGCGAAAGCCUGACCCAGCGAUGCCGCGUGUGUGAAGAAGGCCCUAGGGUUGUAAAGCACUUUCAGUCGUGAAGAAAUCCCCGAAAUUAAUACUUUCGGGUUUUGACGUUAGCGACAGAAGAAGUACCGGCUAACUCCGUGCCAGCAGCCGCGGUAAUACGGAGGGUACAAACGUUAAUCGGAAUUACUGGGCGUAAAGCGCGCGUAGGCGGUUUGUUAAGUGGGAUGUGAAAGCCCCGGGCUCAACCUGGGAACUGCAUUCCAAACUGAUAGGCUAGAGUAUGGUAGAGGGAGGUAGAAUUUCCUGUGUAGCGGUGAAAUGCGUAGAUAUAGGAAGGAAUACCGGUGG
rnacentral:rRNA from 1 species